CCUCCUCCUGAUUGGCUGAAGAUCAAGGCGCACGCAAAGCGGGACGUCUUUGCCAAACAAUCGGAGGCUGCUGGAUAUCAAAUGCGUCUUCUUCUCCCCAAAUCUUUUUAAAAAUCAGUCCCUUCAAGCCUUUCGUGUUGUAAUCGUUUGAAAGGAUGGCGGAAAGCGAGGUGGACACGCCGAGCACCCCGAUUGAAUACGAGAGCAAAUACUUCGAGUAUCAUGGAGUUCGACUCCCUCCUUUCUGCAGGGGCAAGAUGGACGAGAUCGCCAACUUUUCGUUAAGAAGUAGCGACAUAUGGAUCGUUACAUACCCCAAAUCAGGUACGAGUUUGUUACAGGAGGUGGUGUAUCUGGUGAGUCAGGGUGCGGACCCAGAUGAGAUCGGCCUCAUGAAUAUUGAUGAGCAGCUUCCUGUGUUGGAAUAUCCACAGCCGGGUUUGGAGAUCAUCCAGGAACUGACAUCGCCUCGUCUGAUCAAAAGCCACCUGCCACAUCGUUUCCUGCCCACAGCGAUGCACAAUGGCGAAGGCAAGGUGAUCUAUAUGGCCAGGAAUCCUAAAGACCUGGUGGUGUCCUACUACCAGUUUCAUCGCUCUUUACGAACCAUGAGCUACCGGGGAACGUUCCAGGAGUUCUGCAGGCGAUUUAUGAACGACAAGUUGGGAUAUGGCUCCUGGUUUGAGCAUGUUCAGGAGUUCUGGGAGCAUCGCAUGGACUCUAAUGUUCUCUUCUUGAAAUAUGAGGAUAUGUACAAGGAUCUGGGGACCCUGGUGGAGCAGCUGGCUCGCUUUCUGGGCAUCUCGUUUGAUAAAGCCCAGCUGGAGAGCAUGGUGGAGAGCUGUAACCAACUCAUCGAGCAGUGCUGCAACUCUGAGGCCUUGUCCAUCUGCCGGGUGCAUGGAUUCUUGGCUUGGCAUGACGCUGAAAAAUCUCAUUAUAUACAGUAGGGAUUUAUUAUACUAUAAGUGUGCAUGAAGAUAUACUGUGAACACGAAGAUGGAAAAAGUGUGAGAAAGGUCGUGUUGGGCUUUGGAAGGACAUUUUCACUGUGUCCAUGAAUGAAAAGUUCGAUGCUGUUUACCGACAGAAGAUGGCAAAGUCUGACCUGACCUUUGACUUUAUCCUGUGAGGGAGCGACACUGGACUAUCUGUUGACUGCUCAAGAACAAACCAACCAACCAAUCAGUUCAUCCGCUGUGCUUAAUGUCACCUGAUGGACAUUCCCCAUCCAGAUUUUCUCUCUCCAUCCCCACCAUCCCUUGCUCAUCAAUGCUUUCAUUAUUUCCUCAAAAGUUACUUCUUAGUACAAAUACGCGGUCAGUACUAAGAGGCCUUUUUUUCACGUGUGUAUUUGUAUAAACAGUGCAUCAGCAGUGCUAGUCCGAAGUGUAAGCACAGUGCUUGUUGCGUUUGCACAUUGUACAGAGCUAUUCCAUAUCCCAAAGGCGCUUAUGAAAAGUGUAUUUAUUAAAAAUCAGAAAUGAAAAAUGAUUUAGACUAUAUUCUAUAUGCUAAAGCCCUUACGACAAACUCUCAAAGAAAUCGUUGUCGUUUCUCAGGAGGAUUCUUGAAAUCAUUGGCUAAUACAUGCACCAAAUAUGCAGUCAUCCAAUCACAGUUCAGGUCGGGAAAACCUGAGCCUCAUGAUGAAUGCUGAUUGGCUCCUGGCUGAAAGAUCUUAAAGUGUGUGUCGAAUGUCAUUUUGCUUCUUCUAGUGGCUUCUAGAUGCUUUGACUUAUAUUCCAGUAUAGCUAUUCAUUGAUAUCAUAGAUAUUUAACUUUUUUUUUUUUUUUUUUUUA